CAGAAGGUAGUUUAAUAAAAAUAGUAAUUUUGGAGGUUAUAGAUGCUAAUGGUCCUUCUGA
rnacentral:tRNA from 1 species